UACCCUUGACAUGUCCGGAAUCCCGAAGAGAUUUGGGAGUGCUCGCAAGAGAACCGGAACACAGGUGCUGCAUGGCUGUCGUCAGCUCGUGUCGUGAGAUGUUGGGUUAAGUCCCGCAACGAGCGCAACCCUUGUCAUUAGUUGCCAUCAUUUGGUUGGGCACUCUAAUGAGACUGCCGGUGACAAACCGGAGGAAGGUGGGGAUGACGUCAAGUCCUCAUGGCCCUUAUGGGUAGGGCUUCACACGUCAUACAAUGGUCGGUACAGAGGGUUGCCAACCCGCGAGGGGGAGCUAAUCCCACAAAGCCGAUCGUAGUCCGGAUCGCAGUCUGCAACUCGACUGCGUGAAGUCGGAAUCGCUAGUAAUCGUGGAUCAGCAUGUCACGGUGAAUACGUUCCCGGGUCUU
rnacentral:rRNA from 1 species